AGGACGAACGCUGGCGGCGUGCUUAACACAUGCAAGUGGAGCGACGAACCAGGGCUUGCCCUGGGGCAGAGCCGCGAACGGGUGAGUAACACGUGGGUUACCUACCCCGAUGACCGGGACAACCCGAGGAAACUCGGGCUAAUACCGGAUGUGGUCUUCGGACUAAAGGAAGCUUCGGCCUCCGCAUCGGGAUGGGCCCGCGGCGCAUUAGCUUGUUGGUGGGGUAACGCCUACCAAGGCGACGAUGCGUAGCUGGUCUGAGAGGACGAUCAGCCACACUGGGACUGAGACACGGCCCAGACUCCUACGGGAGGCAGCAGUGGGGAAUCUUGCGCAAUGCGCGAAAGCGUGACGCAGCAACGCCGCGUGGGGGAAGAAGGCCUUCGGUUGUAACCUCUUUCAGUUGGGACGAAGGCCGCGCGGUUAAUAGCCGUGGCGGUUGACGGUACCUUCAGAAGAACGCCCCGGCUAACGUACGUGCCCAGCCAGCCGAC
rnacentral:rRNA from 1 species